UGCUUGCUUGAAGAAUAUGUGGAAUGUACAUCCUUGCUUCACUGACUUGAGGAUAGUCACAUGGCUUGCCUUGGUUAAUGGAAUAUUAGUGAAGAUGAGAAAACUGAGGCCAAGAAGAAGUCUAGAUUAUAAAUCCACAGACCAGAAAACCUCCACAGAAUCAGAAGUGCACAGGUAGAUAGCCAAUGAUUGACUAAUUGGGUAAUUAAAUGAUUUCAAGGCAAUUAAUCAGCUUCUCUGUGAUUUUUCUUGGAUUUCCUCAUGUAGUAACAAGAUGGCUUCUCCAUCUCUAAGGGGAUUUCACUUCCCAAAUCAACUCUCAGGGACACAAAGGCAAGAUAAAGCCUACAGAACUCACAUCAGCAUUUUGGAUAGUAACCUAGGGUGAAGUUUGCCCACUACAAGAUGCUAGCCUGACAAAACAUGAAACUUACUGGUACUCAAGAAUGGUUUUAGUCUGUUUUAUUAGGACUCUCUCUGUUGAUCAUUCUACAGUAUUUUUUCUUUUUAGGCAAACAACAUUUUUUUUAAAUAAAAUAGGACAAGGCAAAUAUGAGGUUAGAUGA
rnacentral:lncRNA from 1 species